GACUAGGUUGAUAGGUUGCUGGUGAAAAUGAGUUGCUGCUUCUGUUUUAAUUGUCUGGUUUGGUUCCUUUUUACUGAAUGAGCAAUGUUAAUUCAGCUGCAAUCUGCAAAUUCGUGUCGAACGGGAAGCUUGGGUCUAGCUCUAGCCGAUCUAAUGGGAACUCCAUGCCUCCUAUAGGAGAAUUGCUUGUUGAUGCAUUGGCUGAGAUUAUUUCUGCAACAUCAGAUUCCGAGUGUUGAUAGUUUUGAGUCCCUCCAAGGCUUUUAAGUUGGUGGGUUGCUGUAGAAAGGUAAUUAGACUCGGGCGUUGCAGGAGAUAAAAAUAAUGGAGAGUAUGCUCCCAGGUGAUUGUCGUAGGGAAGACUGGUAAGAGGAAAAUAUUGGUUUGCUGUGUUGUCCCGGCAUGCAUUUGUUGAUGAGAAAGAGAAGGAAGACGGUGCUCCCUUGUCAUCCAAGUUGUCGGUGCUAACCUUGAGGUUAGCUUUCAAGUUCAUUAGAGUCUGGUUUUGUAGUUUGCUUUCUUUCUUUUCAGGGGAUGCUGGCGGAGGCGGCACUGCGACUGCAGUAGUUGACUGGUUGCAUGUGUGUGUCCCUUUAUACGUGAGGUCAAACACGGUUGGGUCCUCAUCGGAUCUCUGCACCUGCUUAGUUGCCCAGCAGUUUUGAACCAUGCGGAAAUAAUGGCAUGCAGAGCAGAGCAGAACAGAACAACAGAACAGAACAGAACAAACCUUGGAUACUUGGCACCCAAGAUGUCCUUCUGUCCAUAUUUCCUCCAGCUGUAUCCGUCAUCGAUUGGCCCUUCGAGCCCAUUGUCCGAAUUAACCCUCACUUGUUCUGUCCACGUGGGCUGAAGCUUCCUAGAGUAGCGGGAUCAAGAAACAUUGUUGGUCAGGUCGGGUCGGGUCAGUCAUCACUUUUGGGACUCCCGUCGACGGAAACGGAACCCUCCAGGACAGCAGAUGCUGCCUCCCUCUCUGAUCCCUUCCAUUUGAGGAUCAUGAGAGCCUUCUCGUAAGAAGACAAUAUUCUCUGCAGAAGAAGGUGAUGGGCUUCGGAGGGAGACGUGGACGACAAGUGGAGCCGGAGCUGAUUUGCCCUCUCCAUUCCCUGCGUCAGCUCAUUCACCAGUGACAUGUAUUCCCAGGUUGGUGCAGAUGAGGCGGCUUCGAGGCUACCAGCGAUCUCCAACCUGCCAGCCACUGCGUCUCUUUUUCUGCCCCACCCGCUGAAUCAAACGUUGGAUAGAGGGAGGAAAUAGAAGCAUUUUAGCCUGCAGCAGCUGCUCAAGUCAAGUGAAUUGGGCUUGUACAUGCAUGCAUAUUUAUUUACUUGUCAUCCUAUCAUAUCCUAAAUUUUGCAUAAAAUGUUCCUAGCUUGCUGCUACAUCAUUUCUUCUUCUGUCUUUAGAUAUAUAAAAGCUGUAAGCAGAGAA